rnacentral:rRNA from 1 species
UACGUAGGUGGCAAGCGUUGUUCGGAAUUACUGGGCGUAAAGAGUGUGUAGGCGGUGUUCUAGGUCUGUUGUGAAAUCUCCCGGCUUAACUGGGAGGGUGCGGCGGAAACUGGAAUGCUAGAGGAUGGGAGAGGUAAGCGGAAUUCCUGGUGUAGCGGUGAAAUGCGUAGAUAUCAGGAGGAACACCUGUGGUGUAGACAGCUUACUGGACCAUUUCUGACGCUGAGACACGAAAGCGUGGGUAGCAAACAGG